rnacentral:rRNA from 1 species
UACAGAGGGGGCAAGCGUUGUUCGGAAUCACUGGGCGUAAAGCGCACGCAGGCGGAUCGUUAAGUCAGGGGUGAAAUCCCGAGGCUCAACCUCGGAACUGCCUUUGAUACUGGCGAUCUUUGAGUCCGGGAGAGGUGAGUGGAACUCCGAGUGUAGAGGUGAAAUUCGUAGAUAUUCGGAAGAACACCAGUGGCGAAGGCGGCUCACUGGCCCGGUACUGACGCUCAGGUGCGAAAGCGUGGGGAGCAAACAGG